CCUACGGGAGGCAGCAGUGGGGAAUAUUGGGCAAUGGGCGCAAGCCUGACCCAGCAACGCCGCGUGAAGGAAGAAGGCUUUCGGGUUGUAAACUUCUUUUCUGAGGGACGAAGAAAGUGACGGUACCUCAGGAAUAAGCCACGGCUAACUACGUGCCAGCAGCCGCGGUAAUACGUAGGUGGCAAGCGUUAUCCGGAUUUAUUGGGUGUAAAGUGCGUGUAGGCGGGAAAGCAAGUCAGAUGUGAAACCUCAGGUCUCAACCCUGAGCCUGCAUUUGAAACUGUUUUUCUGGAGUGCUGGAGAGGAAAGCGGAAUUCCGUGUGUAGCGGUGAAAUGCGUAGAUAUACGGAGGAACACCAGUGGCGAAGGCGGAUUGCUGGACAGUAACUGACGCUGAGGCGCGAAAGCGUGGGGAGCAAACAGGAUUAGAUACCCGAGUAGUC
rnacentral:rRNA from 1 species